CUGCCUGGAGUCUGAGGAGUGAAAUGAAGCUAAUCCCAGAGAAGGGCCUGAAGACCCCAAAGAAGAUAAGUAAUUUACUGAAUAUUGAACUGUGAUACACCCCCAGAAGGGGACCUGAACUGUUUAAUGACUCUACUGAUUGUGUGAGACUUGGCUGGAGGGCUGAGUUGCUGAAGCCCUACCACAACCAGAGUGAGAGUACAGACACACACGCUCGGCCAGCGGGUGCUUGUCAGAGUGAUUUUAAACAGUGUCUUCCAGCUGACAUCUUCUGCAAGCUUGGUGACCCAACCAUCCCAG